rnacentral:rRNA from 1 species
UGGGGGAUAUUGGGACAAUGGGCGCAAGCCUGAUCCAGCAAUGCCGCGUGUGUGAAGAAGGCCUUCGGGUUGUAAAGCACUUUUGUCCGGAAAGAAAUCCUUGGCUCUAAUACAGUCGGGGGAUGACGGUACCGGAAGAAUAAGCACCGGCUAACUACGUGCCAGCAGCCGCGGUAAUACGUAGGGUGCAAGCGUUAAUCGGAAUUACUGGGCGUAAAGCGUGCGCAGGCGGUUUGCUAAGACCGAUGUGAAAUCCCCGGGCUUAACCUGGGAACUGCAUUCGUGACUGCAAGGCUAGAGUAUGGCAGAGGGGGGUAGAAUUCCACGUGUAGCAGUGAAAUGCGUAGAGAUGUGGAGGAAUACCGAUGGCGAAGGCAGCCCCCUGGGCCAAAUACUGACGCUCAUGCACGAAAGCGUGGGGAGCAAACAGGAUUAGAUACCCUGGUAGUCCACGCCCUAAAACGAUGUCAACUAGUUGUUGGGGAUUCAUUUCCUUAGUAACGUAGCUAACGCGUGAAGUUGACCGCCUGGGGAGUACGGUCGCAAGAUUAAAACUCAAAGGAAUUGACGGGGUCAUAGCU